UCUGUUAGCAAUGUGUCUACGUACUGUACAAGGUGAAUUGCUUUGUUUUAUGAUUCAAAGCUAUUUAUAAAGUCUUUUUUUCUUUUUCUUCCUAACAUGGCUCUUAUCUCAUAAAGAAUAUCCCUGAGGUCCAACUUUUCUUACUUUGUGGUAAGUCUCACAGAGACCUCUUCUGACAGAAGGCAAUCUUGUCCUGUGUGCUGGCUCAGAGCUCAGUCCUCGCAGAAGAAAUAGGAGACCUUGUCUUUCUUGAAGGGUUAAUGUGCCCUAAGGAAGCAGCAAUCAACAGACAUUAACUCGUGAUCACAAGCACAGGAGCUGCAUCUUCGAUGGACGUGCUAGAGGAAGGUGAGAAGAUGAAGCAUGGAAAAUGAAUCUCCUACACACGGUUGUGCUGAAAGUCUGUGAUGGAAUGAGAAGUAAAUACCAAACUGCUGGUGUCCUGCUUCAGGAGCACUAUAGUCCUAAUUAUGACUUUUCCCCCUCUGCUUUCACAUUCUAAUAUCAUGCAGAAUUGUUUCAUUUGUAUUUUUAAGAGUACCUAUAAAUCCUGAUUCCUCAGUUCAUUUGCAACAAUUUAGAAAGUACUUUACAUGUCCUGGUGGGCUACUGCAUUAACCAAAACUGUGCUGAUACUCUACAGAACUGGUGUCGGGCUCUCUAGCUGGUCAGUGACCCAGAGAAAACUUAGAAAGUCUCUUUUCCCAGCCCAGUGCUGGGAAAGAGUCAGGGCUCUUCAUUUCUCGGUCUCAAGGUUGUUUAUUGUAUCUUAUCUAUAAAGUUCUUUCUCCUGUCCUGCUGAGGUCCCCUCAGCACGACAGUCAGAGGCACUCUGCCUGGCCCUGGGUGGUGUUAUGUCUUUAUACUAAAAACUACAUAUGCAAUGUUUGCAAUUACUUUCCAAUACCGAUCACCUCUGUUAGACAGUGAGCUUCUACUCUAAACCACUCUAAAAGUGCCAACAUCACAGCAGAAGAUGGAAGCCAAGAAGAAGAAGAAGGACAAAGGCAGGACAUGCCCAAAUUCCUCCAUCUUGCCCCCUGAAUCCUCCAUUCUAGAGACCCCAGAAUCUACUUUUUCACCCCAUGAUAAAUACACUAUCAUUCUACUUAAUUUUUCAUGGCUUGCAGAUCUUUAUCUAAGGUUGGUAACUUGCUCCACAGGUCAUAAUCAAAACCACAGGCAUUUUAGGCUCUGUGCCAGGGUCUCUGAGACCCCUGGCAGGGGUCUUGGAUGCUCAGGACAGCCAGAGGGAUGUCCUGAGACCUGACAAACUGGUAGAAAACUUUAAAGCAGCAAAACCUUCUUGUUCUCUCAUUCACUCAAUACCUAUGUUGAGAGGGAAGGAUUAAUUUUCUUGGGACAUACUAGGAAAGAACCCUUAAGCUAGAAGUGGAAGACACAAGAAAAUGGUUUCACAGUAAUUGCUAGUAGGAAAACUAAAUAUAAAAUCACAAAACCCAGAUAUUGCAGUCUCAGUUCUACGGUAGUUUGGGAAAAAAUAAAAGAUCCCUGGGGAAAAGUGCUGAAACAGCAAAAGAGAUUAUGGAAAUCCAUUUAAGAAACUGAGAUUGUGAAGCUUAUUCAUAAAAUAAAAGGGGACUCCAAGAACAAAGAAAAAAGUCACAGCCUCACAGCCUUUCAGACAUAUGCCAAGAGAACUGAGCAUGUUUGAUAUUUCCGUUUUACAAGCAAGAACCAGAUAGACACUAUUAUAAGGAGAAGCUGAACAGACUGAAGAGCUACACAGUCUUUUUCCCAUCACAAUAUCUUGGAGUGUGUUAGGCAAUUCCAGUGUAAGACCUUUCAUCCUUUGACCCCACUGUCUCUCUCCAGAGAUGUACUGAUCUCCAUCGUAAUUUUUCUAGGUAUCUACAUGCCUUUUAACAAUCCUUGAGCCAAAUAAGUACAGUCUUUAUUAAAAAAAAAAAAAAAUUUCUAAACCACAGCUCCAGCUAUUGCCACAAAAUUAUUAUACACUUUGAAUAGCUUCUGGAAGAGUUUACAUGCUAUGCUUGCUUGAGAUGACAGGAGACAGGAUGUUUUCACUAAUCAUUAAGAAAGAAGGUGGCAGGAAAUCUCACUCUUCAGAUCAUGUAAAGGACUCCUUGUGAUCUUUGCUUUGAGAAAUUCUGAUAUCUCCACUCUAAAGCUUUGUAAUUUGGCAUGUGAAAUCUCUGCAGGUGGGAGUAGUGCAUUUCCUUUCCAUGGUGAAGUUUCUCACAGAUUGGCUGAGCUGAAUAGAGUUGAGCAUGGCUAUGUCCUGAGCUUUCCCAGGAGGCUGUUAUCAAUUGCUGCAAUCCUAGAACAUUCCAGAGAACCUCAUGCAAGACAGUACCAAAAAAGCAGCCUGGGAACUGAAACCAACAGCACUGUUCUAGGAAUUCUAAUGGGAUGGCUGGUUAUCAUUCCUGACAGAGAGUGACCCAAACUUAUCUUCAUGUCUUGCAACCACCAUAUAGCUGCAAGAAGACCACUUCCUCUUUGGCUGACUUUCUGUGAGUCCUGCUGUUGAGGGACAGAGAGCUGAUCUCCUGGGCAGAUGUAAGACGGUGACAGCCUAUGCUGUGACACAGGGGCUGAUCAGGAUUUUCUGGCAUGUGACAGUGUUGAGUUCUGCCUUCUCUCUACUAAAACAUAUGCAAAAGUAUUAUUAAAGACAUUUUUUAGGUUGUAAAGUCCAAGUCCAGUGAAUUAAUUAAGUGAUCUAAAGAUAACAUUAAUUUGCCCUUAUUUGUAAAUGUAUCGAAAGUUCCCAUGAAAAUAUGACCUUGCCCAAUAUUUUAAAGACAUGUCAAAAGCAGAAUUAGAGUUAAAUACUCUUAUAUUUGGCAUUUCCUAACAUUUAAUUCAUUUAACAACCCAAUCCAAUGCAAGUAGCUUUCCUUUACUGUUGUUUUUGUUGUGUGGUUUUGGUUUUUUUAUUAUAAUUACAGACAUGUACAUGCACAUGUUUAUGCUCAUAUAAAUUUACAAUACUGGGAAAAAGGAAGCUGUGUUUUCCAUUCAGUCUGAAAUGUAUUGCUUGACUUGCUUCCCUGUAAUGAUUCUUGAGGAAGAUAAGUAAAAUAAAAAGGCUAAAGGCCUCAUGAACUCUAUGCUACCCCUGUAAUUACAGUAUUUAAGGGUUCUUAAACACACUGCAGAAGAAUAAAAGGAAACUAUCUUAACAUAAGCACUCCUGGGUACAUGCUAAAUCUGUUCACUUUUUUCUUAGCCUACCACCUCCCACCAGCUGACCUAAUGAACAAGUCACUUCUGAUGUCAGAAGAAUCUACAUUUUAGCCGUUCCAGCUGGGAACAAGCAAGGUUGUAUCCUGCCAUGCAGCAGUUACUCUGAGAAUGGGAUAAGUAGAAAAGCUGGCAAAGGUUUCAAAAUAUAACAAGCUCUAAAGAAGUGGGAUUCUGUUUAUCUGCAGUUAUGUGGGUGGGGUUAAGCCCUCCGCCUAAGCCCUGAUGUGUAGGAGCCCUGGUUAUGAGUUUUUUUAACCCCAAGUGCCAGACUGGGAGCUGUGGUGAUAGGUUGCUAACUUAGGAGAUCAUGGGCAUUUGACAAGAUCUCAUUUGUCCAGUCCACAGAGGAUGCUCUGUUUCCGUUCACAUGCCAAUUCUCCACUUAUUACUUGGCAUAUAAUGCAAGCUGUGUUUCCUCCAUGAUUGUCCUUGAGCAAUAUAAGCUCCCUCAAUUUCUAAAGGGUAGACAUCCUUGAGUAAUAAGUAUUACUAUGUAACAAGAGUUCAGAGAUUUAAUAUUUUUCCCUUUGGUUUCCCUGAGAGUUCAUCACAAAAUUGUUCCAGGUCUGCUUUGAUGAAAAGAGCAGAAUCCUUGCAGGCAAAUUCCUGGCAGCACAUAGAAUAUUCAUAGUUUCCAUUUUUAAUUCUGCACUUCCUGUUGCAUGUAUUUACUCUCGAGCCACUUCAUUUAAAUUAUGAAAUACAGCACAUUUAAACAAAAAAUAAAAAGUUCUAUAGACUUGCAGUUAAUACAUGCAGCCAAACAAACCACACAGCACAAAGCCCACCAAAUGUGUUGUGUGAAGGUGGAAUCACUGAGGGCUGUAGAAAAUUUAAAGAAUUGAAGAAAAUAUUUGUGACAGUUUGAUAUAGCCAAGCUAUUUGACAUAUGAGCAGUGAAGGAUCCAAAGUGUGGUUGGUAAGGUAGAUUCAAUAAGGAAGUAUAAUCAUUUAUCUGUAGGAAUUGUUAUAAUUAGUAGUUGUUUCCUCUUCCAUUAUUUUCUAAGAACUCUGCAGUAUCUUCUUCAGUAUGUUUCAAGUUUAAUGUGCUAUAUAGGAUGGGCAAGUGUUGUAGUCAUGGAAUAGAAAUGGCCAUGUAUGUGUCCAAAAAGUCACUUUUGUGUUCUUUCACAUAAUCAGAAAUGAAAUAGUCAAGAUUAUUUUCCUUUUGGUCAUGUUAAAAGAGAGAGGUUAGUUCAUACAGUCCCUAAGUACUUCCAUGUGUGUUCACCCUUAGCUAAAAGGCAUAUCACUCUUGCAGGUGACUGAAAAGUGGUUAAAAUGUAAAUUAUUGAGGGCUUACAAAAUGAGAUGACAUUUGAAAUGUGUCAUUGUUAAUUAAAAAAAAAAGUUUUGAUGUUAUUCCCACCCGCACAUGUCUAAAUUUGUACAUCUACCUUUUUAAAUCUUUCUAUUUUACCCUAGAGGAACUUUGCCAUCCUCCUCAACUGCCAUCUUCAUUUAAUGAUGAAAGGAACAAAAGAACAUGCAGGUCCAAAGAUGCUACGAAAAAUAUAACCCAGGUUCUGCUGCAAUAAAAAAAUAACAAUGUAUAAUGUGGAACAAU